GAAUUUUGGACAAUGGGCGAAAGCCUGACCCAGCAAUGCCGCGUGCAGGAAGAAGGCCUUUGGGUUGUAAACUGCUUUUGUACGGAACGAAAAGCUUUGGGUUAAUACCCUGCAGUCAUGACGUUACCGCAAGCAUACGCUCCGGUUACACACGGGCAAGCACCCGCGGGAAUACGUAGGGUGCAAGAGUUAAUCGGAAGUACUGGGCGUAAAGCGUGGGCGGGCGGUUGUGUAAGACAGAGGUGAAAUCCCCGGGCUCAACCUGGGAACGGCCUUUGUGACUGCAAGGCUAGAGUACGGCAGAGGGGGGUGGAAUUCCGCGUGUAGCAGUGAAAUGAGUAGAUAUGCGGAGGAACACCGAUGGCGAAGGCAACCCCCUGGGCCUGUACUGACGCUCAUGCACGAAAGAGUGGGGAGCAAACA
rnacentral:rRNA from 1 species